UACGUAGGGUGCAAGCGUUGUCCGGAAUUAUUGGGCGUAAAGAGCUCGUAGGCGGUUUGUCGCGUCGGCUGUGAAAACUCGGGGCUCAACUCCGAGCUUGCAGUCGAUACGGGCAGACUAGAGUUCGGUAGGGGAGACUGGAAUUCCUGGUGUAGCGGUGAAAUGCGCAGAUAUCAGGAGGAACACCGGUGGCGAAGGCGGGUCUCUGGGCCGAUACUGACGCUGAGGAGCGAAAGCGUGGGGAGCGAACAGG
rnacentral:rRNA from 1 species